GACGAACGCUGGCGGCGCGCUUAACACAUGCAAGUCGAGCGAUGAAAUCUUAACAGCCCCCUUCGGGGUGAAGAUAAGACGGAUUAGCGGCGGACGGGUGAGUAACACGUGAGUAACCUGCCUUUUACACAGGGAUAGCCUCAGGAAACCGGGAUUAAAACCUGAUGAAACUAUCAAAUCACAUGAUUAAGAAAGUUAAAACUCCGGUGGUAAAAGAUGGACUCGCGUCCCAUUAGCUGGUUGGUGAAGGUAACGGCCCACCAAGGCAACGAUGGGUAGCCGGCCUGAGAGGGUGAACGGCCACAUUGGAACUGAGAAACGGUCCAAACUCCUACGGGAGGCAGCAGUGGGGAAUAUUGCACAAUGGGGGAAACCCUGAUGCAGCGACGCCGCGUGAGCGAAGAAGGCCUUCGGGUCGUAAAGCUCUUUUAUAUGGGAAGAUAAUGACGGUACCAUAAGAAAAAGCCCCGGCUAACUACGUG
rnacentral:rRNA from 1 species